AUUGAACGCUGGCGGCAGGCCUAACACAUGCAAGUCGAGCGAGCGGCGGACGGGUGAGUAAUGUCUGGGAAACUGCCUGAUGAAGGGGGAUAACUACUGGAAACGGUAGCUAAUACCGCAUACCAUCAGAUGUGCCCAGAUGGGAUUAGCUAGUAGGUGGGGUAACGGCGCACCUAGGCGACGAUCCCUAGCAGGUCUGAGAGGAUGACCAGCCACACUGGAACUGAGAAACGGUCCAGACUGACACGGGAGGGAGCAGUGGGGAAUCUGGCACAAGGGGCGCAAGCCAGAUACAGCCAUGCCGAGUGUGUGAAGAGGGCCUUAGGGUUGUAAAGCACUUUCAGCGGGUAGGCGUUACCCUCAGAAGAAGCAACGGCUAAAUCCGUGCCAGGAGCCGCGGUAAUUC
rnacentral:rRNA from 1 species